UGUUUCGAGCGAUCCACCAGUGUCGUCAGUGAGUGCCCUAGUACAGCUCCCGUCCGAACUGCCUUUGUUCUGCCGAGCUGCCUGCCGGCGCUCUCGUCAAAAGUCUGGUACUGGGGCUUCGAAUUGUAGUGUUUGGAAGACUGUUGAAGGUUGUGCUUUUGUGGAGCUGGAGUUCAUCGGCAGUUCUACAGUGCUUGCGCCAGAGAAACGUCGGUGCUUCUGUACCUGUUAGACGAAGGAGCGUUUGCCAAGUCUUGAAAGGUAGACAUCGGUGACGGUGUAUACUUUGAAAAGGGCCUGCUGAAGAGGCUGUGCCUGGAUGCUAACAACUCAGGCUUUCACUUCGCGGAGGGCCUCCUUAAAGCUCCUUUUUCAAUAGAAGACGUUGAAGGGAGGUCCUUCUUUGGGCGGCUGUCAAAUGCCUUCCACAGAAGGAUCCGUUGGAUUCCAAGAAGGUCAACACCAUAGUAGACUACACAACGCAACAUUUCAGCCUACUUCCAGGGCAGCUGGAGAACUCGUCCUCCUUACUAGCCCGGGGAUAUUAAAUGGAUGUGUUCAAGCACAAA